GUGGGAUAUUAGUUGCUCGGAUAAUCUUCCGGAUUACAUGAAAUAUCUCUGUGAUAAUCUUAGAGCAAUGAUGAAACAUUAAUCAUAUAUCAUGUAACCAAAUUUUAUUAUAAAUAAGAAAAGAUUCAUUAGGAAUUUAUUAAGUGGACUUUUUUGAACAUAAAUAAGAAAACAUAUCAUGGAUGAAUUCUUCUUCAUUCACUAAUUGUUUAGCUACUUAAACUACUUUGCAGUUGAAAAAAACAAAUUGGGAAGUCACUGAACCUAAAAUUUCACUAAUUCUUCUUCCAAUUUUCUAUAGAAAACUUGGCUAAAUUGUUGUAUCUAAAUUUAGCAAAUAACCGAAUUUUUGGCCAAAUACCUAAAGAAAUUGGGAAGUCACUAAACCUAAAAUUUCUAUCUCUUUCUCUGAACAACAUAUCUGGUCCUAUUCCUGUGGAAAUUGGGAAAUUGAUCAACAUGAACAAUUUAAGGCUUAAUGACAAUAGCCUUUCUGGUUUCAUUCCCCGUGAAAUUCGAACGAUGAGAAAUUUGCUUGAAAUUAAUUUGUCCAAUAACUCUCUAUCAGGUAAAAUCCCACCUACAAUAGGAAACAUGAGCAAUUUACAAAACCUUACCAUAUUUUCAAACCAUCUCAAUGAGCCACUUCCAACAGAAAUCAACAAGCUUUCGAAUUUGGCAUAUUUCUUUAUAUUUAAUAACAAUUUCACUGGUCAGCUCCCACACAAUAUUUGCAUUGGUGGAAACCUGAAAUUCUUUGCUGUUUUGGAGAACCACUUCAUUGGUCCUGUUCCCAUGAGUUUGAAGAAUUGCUCUAGCAUUAUAAGAAUUAGGCUUGAAAAAAACAACCUAUCUGGAAAUAUAUCUAAUUACUUUGGUGUGCAUCCAAAUUUGUACUACAUGCAGUUGAGUGAAAAUCAUUUUUAUGGCCACCUUUCACUCAACUGGGGAAAAUGCCGUAGCCUGGCAUUCCUCAACGUCUCCAAUAAUAACAUAUCAGGUGGUAUACCACCAGAACUAGGCGAGACAACCAAUUUAUAUUCACUCGACUUAUCUUCAAAUUACCUCACAGGAAAAAUUCCAAAGGAGUUAGGAAACUUGACUUCAUUGUCUAAACUCUUGAUAAGCAACAACCAUCUAACAGGAAACAUUCCGGUACAAAUAACAUCGCUAAAGGAACUUGAGACCUUAAAUCUUGCAGCAAAUGAUCUUAGCGGCUUCGUCACAAAACAACUUGGAUAUUUUCCUAGAUUACGUGACAUGAAUUUGAGCCACAAUGAAUUCAAAGGAAAUAUUGGCCAAUUUAAAGUCCUUCAAAGUCUUGAUCUUAGUGGGAAUUUUCUCAACGGAGUAAUACCGUUAACGCUUGCUCAACUGAUAUACUUGAAGUCAUUGAAUAUAUCACAUAAUAACCUUUCUGGAUUUAUUCCGUCAAACUUUGAUCAGAUGCUCAGCUUGUUAACUGUUGACAUAUCAUUUAACCAGUUUGAGGGUUCAGUUCCAAACAUUCCAGCUUUCCAUAAAGCUACUUUUGAAGUUUUGAGAAAUAAUAAAAGACUGUGGCAAUGUCUCUGGCUUGGAGCCUUGCCCAACAUCAAGCGGUACUAGCUCUCAUAAUCAUAAGAAAGUCUUAUUGAUUGUUUUGCCACUUGCAAUUGGAACUCUAAUACUAGUAUUAGUUUGUUUCAUAUUCUCGCAUCUCUGCAAAAAGUCAACCAUGCGAGAAUACAUGGCUCGAAGGAACACCCUUGAUACUCAAAAUCUAUUUACCAUAUGGAGUUUUGAUGACAAAAUGGUGUAUGAGAAUAUUAUUCAAGCCACAGACGAUUUUGAUGAUAAACAUCUCAUCGGAGUUGGAGGGCAUGGAAGUGUUUACAAAGCAGAAUUAGACACAGGUCAAGUAGUUGCUGUUAAAAAGCUCCAUUCAAUAGUAUAUGAAGAAAAUUCAAACCUAAAAUCUUUCACAAGUGAGAUCCAAGCACUGACAGAAAUUCGACAUCGUAACAUUGUAAAACUGCAUGGAUUUUGUUUGCAUUCUCGAGUCUCAUUUUUGGUCUACGAAUACAUGGGAAAAGGAAGUGUAGAUAACAUUUUGAAAGAUUAUGAUGAAGCAAUUGCAUUUGACUGGAAUAAGAGGGUGAAUGCCAUUAAAGAUAUAGCUAAUGCUGUAUGUUAUAUGCAUCAUCAUUGCUCACCUCCAAUUGUUCAUCGAGAUAUAUCAAGCAAGAAUAUACUUCUAAAUUUGGAAUAUGUGGCUCAUGUCUCUGACUUUGGAAUAGCUAAGCUUCUUAAUCCUGAUUCAACCAAUUGGACCUCAUUUGCAGGAACCAUUGGAUAUGCUGCACCAGAAUAUGCAUACACAAUGCAAGUGAAUGAGAAAUGUGAUGUGUAUAGUUUUGGGGUAUUAGCAUUGGAAAAACUUUUUGGAAAACACCCUGGAGGUUUGAUAUAUCAUUCCUCACUAUCACCUUUGUGGAAAAUUGUGGGCAACUUACUUGAUGAUACAUCGUUGAUGGAUAAGUUGGAUCAACGUCUCCCUCGUCCGUUGAAUCCUUUUGUUAAUGAGUUGGUAUCGAUUGCAAGGAUCGCAAUUGUCUGCUUGACUGAAAGUUCACAGUCUCGCCCUACCAUGGAGCAGGUCGCUCAACAACUUUCAAUGUCAUAUUUGUCUACAGUGGAUUAGUUUCAUGCUUGAGUUCUACAUGUUCUUUCUUGUUUUAUAAUUUUGUAAACCAUUUUAAAUUCUUUUGAAUGGAAUGCUAGUUUAUGGUAAUUGUUUCUUAAUGUCAGAUGUUAUGUCAUUUUAAUUAUAUAUUGAUAAUAUUGUAUAGUCUCAAGAUGAGUAAAGUGUUAUUAAAAUCCCCCAAGGUUUGAAUAUUUCAA